AAUAUGUCCUCUCUAAUGCUACUUUAUAAACAAUAUUCAAAUAUCUUAGCCUCGCUUGAGGACAAUAACAAUUUUAAUGAAGUUUUAUUAUCCUAGUACUUGAAGUAACAAAACAUUUUAACGUACUCGAGAAACGUAAAUCUACAAAA